rnacentral:lncRNA from 1 species
UACGAUCGAUCUGUCAGAUUUGAUCGUCUCCUACCUCCCUUCCUCUUACGAUUUGAUCGUCUCCUACCUCUCUUCCUCUUACGAUUUGAUCGGUGGUCUCCAGCCUCUUCUCCUCCUGUGGCUCCUACGAUCUGGUCUAUUGUCUUCUCCUCCUACGAUUUGGAUAUUUUAUUUUCCAUUUAGGUUAUGAACUUAUGAUAUUUUCUAUUGCUGAUCUAUGCCACUAUUGAUUUUCUAUUCCUCUAUUUAGGUUUUAUUUGGGUGUUUGAUUUGUUGAUUUUCCAUUCAGGUUUGAUGGAGAGUAAGGAGAAAAACCAGAGAGAUAGUGCAAUGGGUAGAUACGAAGCUUGUACGUAUACAAGCUAGUCUUGAAUUGUUGUCGGAUCAUUUCUUCUACCUUAUCGAUUUUUGGAUUAUUUAUUCAAUUCAUUUCAGCCUUGCUCUCUUGAGAAGAUCAACAAACUAAGAUUGUGCCCGAUAUUAAUUAAACAAUCCUCUCUUUAUUCUUUCAACUAAUGACAGAACUAUCAAAUUGUGGAAGGUGUUCUUCUGCUCAAGCCAUUUUUUACUAACAUUUUACUAACAAUUCAGGUUUGAUUUCUAUAUUUUCAGGUUCUAUUUCCGUCUGAUAGCACACUGCAUCGAUACGAUCUUCCAUUUUCCCUCCAAUUUUUGAAUCCGUUCGUCUCUAACGAACUGGAAAACUUUGGGCUUGGUGUGGGAGCAUAAAUUGAAUCCGUCUGAGACCUAAUAUUCAUUUGAAUUAAGUGAGUUAUCAUCUAUCUAGCCAUGUUGAUUAAUCCAUAUAAAUUUUUAGAAUCAAUUUCAAGUGAGAUCUUACUAUUUGAAAAUUAGUAAAAACUUUAAUCAUAAGCUUUC